rnacentral:tRNA from 1 species
AGAGUAAUUGCUCAGUGGUAGAGUGCUUGCUUAGUAUGCAUGAGGUCCUGGGUUCAAUCCCCAGAACCUCCA